rnacentral:rRNA from 1 species
UACGAGGGGGGCGAGCGUUGUUCGGAAUUAUUGGGCGUAAAGGGUGCGUAGGCGGUUUGGUAAGUCUGAUGUGAAAUCUAUGGGCUCAACUCAUAGUCUGCAUCGGAAACUGCCGGGCUUGAGUGUGGGAGAGGUGAGUGGAAUUCCUGGUGUAGCGGUGAAAUGCGCAGAUAUCAGGAAGAACACCCGUGGCGAAAGCGGCUCUCUGGGACGGUACUGACGCUGAGACGCGAAAGCGUGGGGAGCAAACAGG